ACGAACGCUGGCGGCGCGCCUAACACAUGCAAGUCGAACGGGAUCUUUUAGGAAGCUUGCUUCUUGGCUGAUCUAGUGGCGGACGGGUGAGUAACACGUGAGCAACCUGCCGAAGAGUGGGGGAUAACGUCUGGAAACGGACGCUAAUACCGCAUAACAUCACGGGAUGGCAUCAUCCUGUGAUCAAAGGAGCAAUCCGCUUUUUGAUGGGCUCGCGCCCGAUUAGAUAGUUGGUGAGGUAACGGCUCACCAAGUCGACGAUCGGUAGCCGGACUGAGAGGUUGAACGGCCACAUUGGGACUGAGACACGGCCCAGACUCCUACGGGAGGCAGCAGUGGGGAAUAUUGCACAAUGGGGGAAACCCUGAUGCAGCGACGCCGCGUGAGUGAAGACGGCCUUCGGGUUGUAAAGCUCUGUUAUGGGGGACGAUAAUGACGGUACCCCAUUAGAAAGCCACGGCUAACUACGUGCCAGCAGCCGCCGUAAAAC
rnacentral:rRNA from 1 species